UCACCGUGUCAAGCUUGGCUUGUUGUUGGGCCCUCUGUCACUGGGUGACAGGUCCAAAAGAUAAUGACCGGUGUCAUACCGACGCUAUAUGCAACGAGCUUAUUACAGCACGCAUCUGGCAGUUGUGUGGCCCGGUCCUCCCCCCUAUUUCUUUCAA
rnacentral:misc_RNA from 1 species